UACGAAGGGGGCUAGCGUUGCUCGGAAUCACUGGGCGUAAAGGGUGCGUAGGCGGGGCUUUAAGUCAGGGGUGAAAUCCUGGAGCUCAACUCCAGAACUGCCUUUGAUACUGAGGAUCUUGAGUUCGGGAGAGGUGAGUGGAACUGCGAGUGUAGAGGUGAAAUUCGUAGAUAUUCGCAAGAACACCAGUAGCGAAGGCGGCCCACUGGCCCGAUACUGACGCUGAGGCACGAAAGCGUGGGGAGCAAACAGG
rnacentral:rRNA from 1 species